UACGUAGGUGGCAAGCGUUAUCCGGAUUUACUGGGUGUAAAGGGCGAGUAGGCGGGAUUGCAAGUCAGAUGUGAAAACUAUGGGCUCAACCGAUAGAGUGCAUUUGAAACUGCAGUUCUUGAGUGAUGGAGAGGCAGGCGGAAUGCGUGGUGUAGCGGUGAAAUGCAUAGAUAUCACGCAGAACCCCGAUUGCGAAGGCAGCCUUCCGGCGCCCUACUGACGCUGAGGCACGAAAGUGCGGGGAUCGAACAGG
rnacentral:rRNA from 1 species